UACGUAGGGGGCAAGCGUUGUCCGGAUUUAUUGGGCGUAAAGAGCGUGUAGGCGGCCAUACAGGUCAGCUGUGAAAACUCGAGGCUCAACCUCGAGACGUCGGUUGAAACCGUUUGGCUAGAGUCCGGAAGAGGAGAGUGGAAUUCCCGGUGUAGCGGUGAAAUGCGCAGAUAUCGGGAGGAACACCUGUGGCGAAAGCGGCUUACUAGACGACAACUGACGCUGAGGCGCGAAAGCUAGGGGAGCAAACAGG
rnacentral:rRNA from 1 species